AUUGAACGCUGGCGGCAGGCCUAACACAUGCAAGUCGAGCGAGCGGCGGACGGGUGAGUAAGGUAUGGGGACUGUCCGUUAGAGGGGGAUAACUACUGGAAACGGUAGCUAAUACCGCAUACUAUCGGAUACCGCAUAUGGGAUUAGCUAGUUGGUGAGGUAAUGGCUCACCAAGGCGACGAUCCCUAGCUGGUCUGAGAGGAUGAUCAGCCACACUGGGACUGAGACACGGCCCAGACUCCUACGGAGGCAGCAGUAGGGAAUAUUGCGCAAUGGGCGAAAGCCUGAUGCAGCAAUGCCGCGUGUAUGAAGAAGGCCUUAGGGUUGUAAAGUACUUUCAGUAGGGAGGCGUUACCGACAGAAGAAGCACCGGCUAACUACGUGCCAGCAGCCGCGGUAAUAC
rnacentral:rRNA from 1 species